CCUACGGGUGACUGCAGUGAGGAAUAUUGGUCAAUGGAUGAGAGUCUGAACCAGCCAAGUAGCGUGAAGGAUGACUGCCCUAUGGGUUGUAAACUUCUUUUAUAUGGGAAUAAAAUGUUCCACGUGUGGGAUUUUGUAUGUACCAUAUGAAUAAGGAUCGGCUAACUCCGUGCCAGCAGCCGCGGUAAUACGGAGGAUCCGAGCGUUAUCCGGAUUUAUUGGGUUUAAAGGGAGCGUAGGUGGAUUGUUAAGUCAGUUGUGAAAGUUUGCGGCUCAACCGUAAAAUUGCAGUUGAAACUGGCAGUCUUGAGUACAGUAGAGGUGGGCGGAAUUCGUGGUGUAGCGGUGAAAUGCUUAGAUAUCACGAAGAACUCCGAUUGCGAAGGCAGUUCACUGGACUGCAACUGACACUGAGGCUCGAAAGUGUGGGUAUCAAACAGGAUUAGAUACCCGAGUAGUC
rnacentral:rRNA from 1 species